CCUACGGGGGGCAGCAGUGAGGAAUAUUGGUCAAUGGACGCUAGUCUGAACCAGCCAAGUAGCGUGAAGGAUGACUGCCCUAUGGGUUGUCAACUUCUUUUAUAAAGGAAUAAAGCGCAGUACGUAUACCUUUUUGCAUGUACUUUAUGAAUAAGGAUCGGCUAACUCCGUGCCAGCAGCCGCGGUAAUACGGAGGAUCCGAGCGUUAUCCGGAUUUAUUGGGUUUAAAGGGAGCGUAGAUGGGUUGUUAAGUCAGUUGUGAAAGUUUGCGGCUCAACCGUAAAAUUGCAGUUGAUACUGGCAUCCCUGAGUACAGUAGAGGUAGGCGGAAUUCGUGGUGUAGCGGUGGAAUGCUUAGAUAUCACGAAGAACUCCGAUUGCGAAGGCAGCUUACUAGACUGUAACUGACAUUGAUGCUCGAAAGUGUGGGUAUCAAACAGGAUUAGAUACCCGAGUAGUC
rnacentral:rRNA from 1 species